UACGUAGGGUGCGAGCGUUAAUCGGAAUUACUGGGCGUAAAGCGCGCGUAGGCGGCUUUGCAAGUCGGGUGUGAAAUCCCCAGGCUUAACCUGGGAACUGCAUUCGAGACUGCAUUGCUAGAGUAUGGGAGAGGGAAGUGGAAUUUCCGGUGUAGCGGUGAAAUGCGUAGAUAUCGUAAGGAAGACCAGUGGCGAAGGCGGGUCUCUGGACAGUUCCUGACGCUGAGGCACGAAGGUCAGGGGAGCAAACGGG
rnacentral:rRNA from 1 species